UACGUAGGUGGCAAGCGUUGUCCGGAAUUAUUGGGCGUAAAGGGCGCGUAGGCGGUACCUUAAGUCAGAUGUGAAAACCCGAGGCUUAACUUCGGAGGUGCAUUUGAAACUGGGGAACUAGAGUGCAGGAGAGGUAAGUGGAAUUCCUAGUGUAGCGGUGAAAUGCGUAGAUAUUAGGAGGAACACCAGUGGCGAAGGCGACUUACUGGACUGUAACUGACGCUGAGGCGCGAAAGCGUGGGGAGCAAACAGG
rnacentral:rRNA from 1 species